rnacentral:rRNA from 1 species
UACGAAGGGGGCUAGCGUUGUUCGGAAUCACUGGGCGUAAAGGGUGCGUAGGCGGGUCUUUAAGUCAGGGGUGAAAUCCUGGAGCUCAACUCCAGAACUGCCUUUGAUACUGAGGAUCUUGAGUCCGGGAGAGGUGAGUGGAACUGCGAGUGUAGAGGUGAAAUUCGUAGAUAUUCGGAAGAACACCAGUGGCGAAGGCGGCUCACUGGCCCGGUACUGACGCUGAGGCACGAAAGCGUGGGGAGCAAACAGG